CUGUAUAUUGUUCUUCUUAAAGUAUAUUUAUCGUGAUCUAAUUUAUUAUGACCCUAGGGAUUCCGAGUUCCAACUAGAAUGACAAAAAAAAAAAAAAAAUAGUUUGCAUUUUUUUUCCCUUUUACCUAAACAAGGAACAAACAAAUUCAUUUUGGAUGUACCUAAAGACCCAAGCUAUCGCUUCCUCGGACUAUUUUAUUCGAAAAACACCCCUCGAUUUGUUGUGC